UAUGAAUGACUGAAAAAAAUAAAACAACUUCGAAUAUUCAUACAACCCAAAACAAAUCGCAGAAGUCAUACAACCCAGAUUCCUAUAAUCGACCGUCGCCGCCAUGCACUAGUGUCGAAAAAUAACAAAAAAAUUACCUGUCCAAAGCAAACUGAUUCAGGAUCUAACGAACAUAUCACGCCGAAACUUGAUGAUAGCAUCACACUGGUGGGAUAAAUGGUGAAAUUGCCGCUAGACGGGUCUCUCGAUUGCCGACGAAGAAGUUUGGAUUUCAAACUCGGUGAUAAAGCUGCAUGCGACACUUAACGAGUUCGAUGGAAAUCCUGGCUUGAGAGGGCAGAGAGUUCGAGAAGAGAAUUCAUUGAAGGUUGAAGAAUGAGAGAAUUGAACGGGAAACCAUUAUUUCAUGGGCUAAGGAGGUUGGAAAAGAUAAUGAUUUUGUUGUUGUGAUUAAAAGCUCUUAAUCGGAAAGUUUAGAGAAAAAAAAACGUAGAAUACAAUUGCCAUGUGAAUGUAGUACAAAAUAUAGCUGGCCAAAGAGUAAGCCUAAUAUAAAAGAAAUGCUUCGUAAGGAUACAAGAACAAAGAAGAGUGGUUGUGGUUGUGCAUUUAAGAUGAUUAGUAGUUAAAGUAUCCUAAUGUUUUCAUCAAUCAAGGAUGAGUACCAAAGGCAUCUACAUUCAUGGAAAAUUGAUUAUCACUCUUAUUAAGCAUCACUUGAUUAUGUAAAGAAUCAAUGGUUAACUUGGUAUAAAGAUAGGCUUGGUUUUAUUUAGACGAACAAAAUAACACA